GCUGAGCUCCUGGAGGCGUACCGUCACCGGAAUGACGAGAACACACAAAUGCACUUGCUAAACUCUGUUGCUGCCCUGAAAAAAACAAACUGCAUCGACUGUUCAUGUAACGCUGGGUUCUUUGGGAAGCUGAACACGAACUGACUGGAGAAAUGGAUUCCUUUUGGGAGAAAAGACCAGCUGAGGGGUCAAAGGUCAGGAUCAGACACUCUCCCCUGAAGCCCUACACGAGAAGGGUCAGUCGGGCAGAUUCUCAGCCAUUAAAAUAGGUAGCGAUGGAAAAGCUUAACUGUCCACUGACCUCAUAUGACCCCGUCUCCUCAUUUGCCCUCUGGACCUAGUGUCGGGAAGUGAAGUCAUCCACACUGAUUUAUCAGUAUACCGUACACACAGUUUCAAUGGAGGGACUGAGAGCUCUCAGACUAAAUCUAAAAUAUCUUAAACUGUGUUCCAAAGAUAAACGGAGGUCUUACGGGUUUGGAACAAAAUGAGAGUAAGUUAUUAAUGACAUAAUUUUGCUAUUUGGGUGAACUAUCCCUUUAAGUACAUAUAAAGUACUAGCAAUGAAAUAAGCUUAUCCAAAACAUAGAAAUCUCCCAUUUUCU